rnacentral:rRNA from 1 species
CAGCAGCCGCGGUGAUCCGUAGGUGGCAAGCGUUGUCCGGAAUUAUUGGGCGUGAAGCGCGCGCAGGCGGAUAGGUCAGUCUGUCUUAAAAGUUCGGGGCUUAACCCCGUGAUGGGAUGGAACUGCCAAUCUAGAGUAUCGGAGAGGAGAGUGGAAUUCCUGGUGUAGCGGUGAAAUGCGUAGAUAUUAGGAAGAACACCAGUGGCGAAGGCGACUUUCUGGACGAAAACUGACGCUGAGGCGCGAAAGCCAGGGGAGCGAACGGGAUUAGAUACCCCCGUAGUCCCUGUCUCUUAUACAC